rnacentral:rRNA from 1 species
GGGGACUGCCGGUGAUAAACCGGAGGAAGGUGAGGACGACGUCAAGUCAUCAUGGCCCUUACGAGUAGGGCUACACACGUGCUACAAUGGGGAAUACAGACGGACGCUAAGCCGCGAGGUGGUGCUAAUCCUAGAAAGUUUCUCGUAGUCCGGAUUGGAGUCUGCAACUCGACUCCAUGAAGUCGGAAUCGCUAGUAAUCGCGGAUCAGCAUGCCGCGGUGAAUACGUUCUUCGGGUCUUGUACACACCGCCGUCACACCAUGGAAGUGGAUUGCACCAGAAGUAGAUAGUCUAACCUUAGGGAGGGCGUUUACCACGGUGUGCUUCAUGACUGGGGUGAAGUCGUAACAAGGUAACC